rnacentral:rRNA from 1 species
UGCAUCGAUGAAGAACGCAGCGAAAUGCGAUAAGUAAUGUGAAUUGCAGAAUUCAGUGAAUCAUCGAAUCUUUGAACGCACAUUGCGCCCCUUGGUAUUCCAUGGGGCAUGCCUGUUCGAGCGUCAUUUCACCACUCAAGCCUCGCUUGGUAUUGGGCAACGCGGUCCGCCGCGUGCCUCAAAUCGACCGGCUGGGUCUUCUGUCCCCUAAGCGUUGUGGAAACUAUUCGCUAAAGGGUGCUCGGGAGGCUACGCCGUAAAACAACCCCACUUCUAAAGUUGACCUCGGAUCAGGUAGGGAUACCCGCUGAACUUAAGCAUAUCAAUAAGCGGAGGA